rnacentral:lncRNA from 1 species
UUGGCUGUUCAUAUAUUUUACAGAAGAAUAGUAAAGUUCUUUAUUUGGCAAGUGAUGAAGCAAAAUGAUUCUUCUCCUAAUAAUGGUAAAUAUAGACAAUUAUGUGACUAGAGUUUUCAACAGUCAAACUGCUUAACUCUCUUUCUCUUCAUGAAUAGUCAAAACAUAUGAAUGCAUCAAGAAUCAGAUAUUAUCUUACCUCCUAUGCAUUUCUAGAAAUAAGAUUGGUUAAAAGCGUCCGCUUGGAGACCGUGUAUAUUUUAUAUUAGGUUAGUAGGAAGGCAGGGCUUAUUUCAUAAACGGUUAGUAGUGGUGUAACGUCCCUUUAUGAUCCAUAUUAGGUAAGAAGGGAGGCGGGACUUAUUUCAUAUACGGUAAGUAGUGGUGUAACGUCCCUUUAUAAAAAUAAACUGGUAUCGAGAAAAAUCUUAAAUGUUUCAUCAGACGAAGAAAUUGAUGAUGAAGAUGGAAAUAAAUUCAUAAAACACAUCUAAAUCUACAAUUUGUUAUUGUUGGUAUCUGUUUUUAUAGGAUCAAUGGAAGUAGUUUCUUAAUGGUAAGAGUAUUGAAGACAUGCUCAUUUUGAUAGGUCACAAGUCUAAACUUUACACGUUAGGAUAGUCGGUAAGAUAAAUUCGUUACAUGUGCUGGUGACGUAAUACGGUAAACAUGGGGUCAGUAAAUUCCAUAUCCCAUAUGGAAUUAACUGGCCCCAUAUAUAUCGUAUUAUAUCACAAGCACACGAUGUAACUAAUAUUAUCUUACCUCCUAUACAUUUCUAGGAAUGUGCUUGGUUAAAAAGCUUCCUCGUGGAGACCGUGUAUAUUUCAUCUUAGGUUAGUAGAAAGGCGGGGCUUAUUUCAUACAAGGUUAGUAGUGGAGUUACGUCCCUUUAAAUUGCAUAUUAGGUAUUAGGGAGGUGGGGCUUAUUUAAUGGUGUUACGACCCUUUAUAAAAACAAAACGACACUGAGAAAAAAUCGUACAGGUUUCAAUAGACAAAGGAAUUGAUGAUUAAAAUUGAAAUAAAUUAGUAAAACACAUUUAAACCUAACAAGUCGUUAUUGUUGGCAUUCCUCAUUUUUAUGGUUCACUAGUCUAAAUUUCACACGUUAAUUAAGAUAGUCGGUAAUAUAAAUUCGUUACAUAGUGUGCUAAUGACGUAAUACGGUAUAUAUGGAGUCAGUAAAUUCCAUAUGGGAAUUCGAGCUUCGCUCUCAACCCAUAUGGAAUUCACUGACCCGAUAUAUACCAUAUUAAGUCUCUAGCACACUAUGCAACUAAUAUAUUUGACGCUUUACCUUAUAAUGUUCACAAUUUAAUUGAUUAGACACUUUGUUUUAAGUCUGAAAUUCGUAAUACCCAUCGCAAGUCAUAUAAAAUUUAACAAGUAUAAUGGAUACAUAACAUGAAUACACCUCUGCGAAAGUCUACCUUAUUUUUAUAGUGAACGCUUUUGUUCGAGCACAUCACAAGUCUGUGAAGACCAACAAAGAAUGACGAUAAUUUAUUUUGCAUUAGUGUACAUAUGUUAAGAUAGUUGAUCUGUACUACAGUCUAAAUAAAAGGCAUGUUACAGAAGACACUUUAAAUGAUGACUUACUAAAGCUUCAAAACAAAAGCAAAACUUUGCCUAAAAUGCUCAAUUGAAAAUAAUUAAAAUCAAAGAAAUCGCAAAUCAUUAUCUCUUUUAGAUGUUUGUAACGACUUCCGGAUAUGACUUACAAUGUCCAGCGAAAGCAGAAUGGAGAUUAAGAGCAAACGUGUCAUGUUAUUCGGAGGACAAAUAUGCAUGUUUGCUCAACGUACUGGAAGAGAAAUAUAUGGAAACUUGUUUAGGUUUAGAUAAAAG